GUCCCCAUCGAUUAACUGGAUAAAUCACUGGCCUCCUAAGCCGGCGCUCCUGGUUCGAGUCCAGGUGGGGAUG
rnacentral:tRNA from 1 species